rnacentral:rRNA from 1 species
GACAGAGGUGCCGAGCGUUAGGCGGAAUCACUGGGCUUAAAGCGUGUGUAGGCGGAUCGUUAAGUGCCUUGUGAAAUCCCACGGCUCAACCGUGGAACUGCUUGGCAUACUGGCGAUCUUGAGCCACUUAGGGGCAACCGGAACAAACGGUGGAGCGGUGAAAUGCGCAGAUAUCAGGAGGAACACCGAUGGCGAAGGCAGCUCGCUGGGACGGUACUGACGCUGAGGCGCGAAAGCGUGGGGAGCAAACAGG